AUAUUUUUUUAUUAGGUUUUGAAAUUUUGAUCUAAUGCAAGAUUUUGUUUUGUUUCUUUGAGUUAUGUUACAUAUUCUCUUUGCAUUCUCACAAAUUUUAUUGGAUACAAGAUUUACAAUAAUAACAGACCAUUGUACUUCGAUCAUUUUAUCAAUUGAAUGCUGUUAUUCUUGCAAAUGAAUUGAACAAUUUGCAGUGUAAAUACACUUCAAAUCUGUAAAUACUGAUAGGACUGCUAGACCACCAUAUAUUACUUGGCUUUUGAAAACAAUCAUAGUCUUUUUGAUGGCAUUACUGAGAUUGUUAUUGGUGCUUCCUGUAUAAAGCCAUGAUGGCAUUUGAUAUUGAUAUAAGUAUUAGUAGCCAUUCAUACCUGCCAACUGUUCAAAAUGCCCAUGGGGGUUUUGCAUUCAAGAUGGUUGACAUAGUCCUAAAAAACCUUCAAGCGGGCCUGCAAAUACAUUUUAAUGUUGUUUUUUUGGCUUCUUCAUACUUCUAUAAGCCUAAAGUCAUUGUAAAAUUAAUUGUUUUGUUUAAAUUGUGGACAAAAUUGCUCUUUCAAAAUUUCAAUUUGGGAGCCUCCAUAGGGGAAAUCCCCUGCAAAUAGUGACAGUUGGAAGGUAUGGCCAUUAUCACAUUAUGACAGUGCCUUAUUCAUUGAGCUAAAAAAUAAAACAAGAUUUAUCAAUCCUGUAUUCUAAAGUCUUAUAACUAUCUCAGACCUUUUCUUCCUUGAUAAUAUACACUUCAUUGUCCUUAUACAUGUAAGAACCUAACUCAUUCUUGUAACAUUCUUAAAAAUGUACACAAAAACAUUGUGAUUGGGUUUUAAACUUCCUAUACAAUGGAAAUUCAACCAAUGAUAUGACAUUAUUAUCAUUUUUGGGGUACAAACGAUCAAAAACUAUUAAAUUACCCAUAGUCCUUUAGUUUCUGAAACAGUUAAAUUAAAUGAAUGUGAAAUAUUGUUGCAGGCCUAUGUAUCAGAAAAAAACUUGUGUAAAACCAAAUUGUUUGUUUUGGUUGUAAGCUAUUUAUGACUGGUUGUAAGGCAGCAACCAUUUGAUUUUCUGGGGGGGGGGGGGGGGGGGCUAUGGUUUUUUUUGGAAAAAAAAGUUUGUUUCCAGUUUUUGGAGAAAAAAAUAAUUUGUUUUUGAUUCUGAGAAAAACAAAUUGUUUGUUUCACCCUACAGCUGCCACUAUAUGUAAUGCUAAAAUUAAAAGAAAAAAAAUGUUUUCCACUUGUCGCGAAAAAAAUAGAUUGUUUUUCGCCACAGACGAAAACAAAAAUUUGUCCAGAAAAAAAAACCAUAGCCCCCCCAGAAAAUCAAAUGGUUGCUGCCUAAGUAAAACAAUGGUUAGGUAACACUAGCCUGUUUUCAUUUAAUUCAAAUAUGAUUGUUUUUGUCUUGCCUUCUAUAUAUCUUAUGGCAUUGAUAUAUCUUUAUGCUCCAUUGCUAACAAAAUGUUGUAUGUGUAUUUAUUAUAAUAUAAGGAGUAAUUGACUUGUAACUAUACGAAUGUCAGUUGGCCUUGACCUCAAUGGCAUAAUCUACUGAUCUUCUCAAUAAUUGAUAUACUGGUGUUCAGUUAAAACAGUUGACAGGCCAGAAGUUUUUGUGUCAAUCUUUGUCAAAUUUAUGCAGGCACUUAAUAUUUUCUUUUUUCUUUGUUUUGUUAAAAAAAAAUCUAUUUCUAUUGUUACAAAAUCUUGUAAAUAUGUAUAUAAAAGUUCAUUAACAAAAUUGUACUCAUUUUACUUGUUAAUGUAUUGUGUGUUAGAUUAGUAAUUAAUGUUAGUCAAAAUAACUUCUAG
rnacentral:lncRNA from 1 species